AUAAAUACAAAUUGUAUUACAAAACAUUAAAUGAAAGACAAAACGUUAUGAAGACAAUUGAUUCAAGAACAAGGCACACAAAUCUCAUGGCCUCACAUCCACAAGGGGCUAAAUAUCCUUGAAGGCUCUUUUUCUCCUUUUUCCUUCCUUUAGUCAGGAGCUAACUAAGCUUUUGGUAUUAUCU